ensembl:misc_RNA
CUGACAGACGUGAAGACUCCAGCCCUCAAUUUAUUCAUCCGCAGAACAAAUAGAGUGGAAACAGCGGCAAAACCCAAGCUUUCCGUGUGGCUUUUCCACUGCCGGUCACACCCCUGACCUGGGGAGACCUUCUGGGAGCGGGUGAGAAGGUUGCAAUGAGUCUCCAGCCCUGUUCAGACUCAUUCUCUC